rnacentral:rRNA from 1 species
GUGGGGGAUAUUGCACAAUGGGGGAAACCCUGAUGCAGCGACGCCGCGUGAAGGAAGACGUACUUCGGUAUGUAAACUUCUAUCAGCAGGGAAGAAGAUGACGGUACCUGACUAAGAAGCCCCGGCUAACUACGUGCCAGCAGCCGCGGUAAUACGGAGGGGGCUAGCGUUGUUCGGAAUUACUGGGCGUAAAGCGCGCGUAGGCGGAUUGGAAAGUUGGGGGUGAAAUCCCGGGGCUCAACCUCGGAACUGCCUUCAAAACUCCUGGUCUGGAGUUCGAGAGAGGUGAGUGGAAUUCCGAGUGUAGAGGUGAAAUGCGUAGAGAUCGGGAGGAACACCAGUGGCGAAGGCGACUUACUGGACUGUAACUGACGCUGAGGCGCGAAAGUGUGGGGAGCAAACAGGAUUAGAUACCCUGGUAGUCC